rnacentral:tRNA from 1 species
GGAAGUAUGGCUCAGGUGAUAGAGCACCUGCCUGGUAAGGGCAUAAGCCCUGAGUUCAAACCCCAGUGCUGCCA